AGUUGAAGGGAGGGGCAACCUACAACGCAGAGAUUGUCAUUUACAAGAAGUAAAAGGAGCCCUUGGACUGCUCAUGCAGCAGUGUUUCCAGCUGGACACAGCAGCUGUGGGCCAGAUGGCCGUUUGUGGGCAGAUUGGGGCUGGGAACGUAAGCACAGCUUGAUGAUGAGGAGGAGCAAAUACAAAACAAAACUUACUUUCCUUUGGAAACUAUUGCCUCAGCUUGCUGAGGGAAUUUACCUCAUCAGUCACCACAGUCAAAGGGAAGAUGAUUAACAAGAGAAACUGAAGAUUUAGAAGCAGGAUCUCACUGGAAGUUCUCUGUUCCCAGACAUGGGAUCCUGGGCUUCAUGCCUCAGAAUCACAGCAAUAGACCUCACAGAUUCAAGGUGAACCAGAAGGAAGUUGUGGAGGUAUGACCACUGUGGAGACACCACCCAUGGUGGUUGUAGGCAUUAUGGGUUACAUGGAAGCUGCUUGAAGCCAACAGACCUUUAAGACCAUCUUUGCCAAGUGUAUCAUUGAUGAGUGCAAAAGGCACUUUUACAAGAACUGGCAUAAAUUGAAAAAGAAGUCCUUCACCAAGCAUUUCAAGAAAUGGUAGGAUGACUUCAGAAGGAGCAGUUGAAGAAGGACUUCAACAGCAUGGAACAUGAGGGAAAUAAUACCGGGUCGCCAGCAUAAUCACCCACACCCAGACGUACCUGUUUCCUCUAUGGCAGAAGAAAGCCCAUGUGAUGGAGAUCGAGGCACCAUAGCUGAGAGACUGAACUGAACACUAGAAUGACUGGAGUAGCCUACUCUGUGUCACAGACUGGACAGAAAGACUUCAUCAACACACAUAAAUCAGCAAGAAGACUUGCAAGAUUGGGCAGGGCUACUUGAUCAAGGACAGCAACCUGAUCAAGAAUAAUGUUUCUACCAACUAUAACCUGUCCAACAAAAGCAUCAACCUUCUGGAUGACUCUGUCCAUUAUGAUGAAGUGACCAAUGACUUUGUCAUGCUGAAAUGCUGUGUGGUGGGGACCAAGUAUCAAAUGCUGAUCGUCUGCUGUUUGGUCUGUAUCUAUCAACACCCUGUAUCUGUAUCAACAGAUACAGACCAAACAGCAGGUCUAUAAGAUUGACCUUAAGUUCAUCAACACCACCUCCAGGUUUGGCCAUCACCACUUCCAGACUGUAGAGGAAAGCAAGACUUUCAUGGAAUCACUUCAGAAAGACCAAGUUGCGAAGGAAGGAGUUUAAUGUUAGGAACAGAUUGUGCAGCUGGUUGGAACUCAAUAAAAGUGACUUUUCAGUGAAAAGAAAUAAAGUAUGACUAUAGUGGAACUAUGUGAUAUUCAGCAUGUAGCAUGUUAUAUAGUGCAGCUGGUGAUGUACCAUCAAAUUCUCCUCCUCUCAUCAGAUAGCCUUCAGCUGUCUGCCCCUUGAGGAAUGUCUCAGCUGCAGAUAACCACUUUUCCCAAGAUCAACCCCUUCUUGGGAGAGCUCAGAUACAAUUAUUCAUCAUGGCAGGUGGGUCUACACCUAUCCACUUCAACUGAGACAACUGUGGCAAACCAUUUUAACCUCAGACUAUUGAGGGACUUACACUAUAGUUCAGUUUUCUCCUCUGUCCAACCCUGAUUUCUUAACCUUCCUUCUAUAGGUAUUAAACCCAAGAGAACAGCAUAGUAAUACACCCUGGUUCCUAAACUCCCUAGCAGAUUAUGCUGCCAAAACAAUCCAACCAGCUUCUGAAGAACAGUGGUUUUGUCUGUCUUGUUCAUAGAUGCUAAUAGGGCCUAGAAUAACAUCGGGCAAAUAAUAUACACUUAAUAAAUGUCUGAUGAUUAAAUAAGGUUUCAUUUAUAUGGUGCAUACUGUUCAAGAACAAAAUAAAAUACUUACAAAAGCAGGAAGAGACUUCUAAACGAAGUGUGCACUUAAUGUUUUUACUAUGAGCCAGUCAAUUUACAGAAGCAGAAUAUAGAGAGAUGUGAUCCAGCCAACUACUUCAUCCAUUCUUUCAAUAUUUACUGAAGGUUUCCCAUAUGCCGUAAUUGAGUGAAGAAGAAAAUAAAUUAAAAAAAACAGUGCCUUCUCUCAAGUAGCUCACCACUUGUUUAUGGAAACUGAUAAAGAGAUCGGUGAUUACAGCAUAGUGGUAAGUACCAUAUCAGGGCAUGAACACAAGGGAUGGUCAGAGCACAUGUGGAAAACAAAACAAAACAGUUAUCCCAGCCUGAGAACAAAGAAUGUUUCUCAGAGAAAAUGAUGGCUGUGGGAUGAUUGGGUGAGAGCAUCCCAUGCCAUUAAGAGUAGAGACUAAAGUCAAUCUCCCUGAGUUCAAAUCCCAGUGUUACAAACAAGAUAGAGUGUCGGAUAAGUUUCUUACUCACUACCUCACUAAUCA